rnacentral:tRNA from 1 species
GGCUUCGUAGCUCAGCUGGUAGAGCAUGCGCUGUAAAAAGGCGUAAGUGGCGUCUAUGUGUGGGUUCGAAUCCCACCGAGACUA